rnacentral:ncRNA from 2 species
GCAUGAAUAAAAGGUAAUGGUGUCCUUUGGACAUAACAGGGAAUUGAGUUAAUACUCAAGCUGUCCCAGCAACCGUGAUACUGACGAAAUGCAAAUACCACUGAGAAAUCGGGAAGGUGCAAAGUAGGAUGAAGUUUAGCCGGUAGACCUACCAUUACCAAAAGUUUUCU